CCCGAGUCCUCCUUUUGCACACACACGAAUACAAAGAGCCAUACGACCUUCGGGAUCAGAUUAGUGAAUAAUUAAAUUGCCAGAGUGUAUACUCCAUGUUGCAAAUGAAGGGUCCCCCAAAGAUGAAAACUUUGACUAAGAGGAACUGCUGUUUUGCAAGCGUUACCUGAAAACCUGUAACCAAGGCCAGCUGGAACUAAAAAUCAACCACCAUCAAGCGUAUGAAACCGAUCUGAGGUCACUGUACUUAUAAUCGUGUACACAUAGCUUUGUGAAGAGCAAAGAACAAAAGCAAGUAAACAAAAAAGCCAAAGAUGGCGUCUGACGGCCUUGAAAAAGCCUCGCACUCUUGUCCCUCCCUGAGAAGGCCCCUCCCCUCCCUGUCUCGUUGAGUGACCGGUAAUGUUUGCCAAUAGCAACCCUGCUUAUGCUCACACACACGCCCAUCGCCCAACCACCAAUCAUUGAGAGCCAGAAGGCAAGCGGGGCGGUGCUUUUCUGCGUGCGCGCGCUGUGGCUGAGUACACGAGCCGGAGCAACUGACUCAGCCACCACCCGGGUCUUGUUGAGUCAGCGGGCGUGGGGCUUCGAGGCACCUGUGGUGGAACACCCGUGGGGCUGCUAGAGUGGGACCCCGCGGCGAGCGUCCGCCCCUGCCCAGGACCUCAGCUUUCCUAGCCACAUAAUUACCCACGUUGACCCAGCAAGAUCCCCUACCGCGCCUCGACCUCUGGGCUCUCCACCGCCCGCCGGGGACUGUCCCCUGGUCCGGCGCACAGUGGCGGGGCUCCCGGUCCCUGCGCCUGACGACUGCUCGGCGUCGCUGCGCUCUCUGCCUGUAGCCAAAUCACACUGCCUGUCGGGAAUGGUUCUGUUGUCCCUGGCGCCCACCUUGUCAUCUUUGACUAAUAUUUAAUCGACUAACAUUUACCGAGGACUUGCUGGGCGCGUGAUAGGGUUCUAGGAGCUAACUUUCCAUUUUUCAGUUUCUCCAGAAAAGCAACUUUAGGUGGAAGACUAUAGCAGGAAGCAGGGAAAUUAAGUCAGCUAUGGUGUCCAUGGAAACCAAAAGAGUCAUUUGAAUGCACAUUGUGCUACACUGC
rnacentral:lncRNA from 1 species